CUGUGGCUGUGGUGUAGGUAGCUCUCAUUCGACCCUAAGCCUGGGAUCUUACGUAUGCCAUUGGGUGUGGCCCUAAAAAAGCAAAAAAAAAAAACCAACAAUUUUUUAGAAGCAAUUCAUAUUUCACUGUAUCUAAAGUACCUUUAACUGUAAGAUGCAUCAAAAUAUUUAGAUAUGUACAAUGUUAAAAACUUCAUCUUAGAAAUGAUUAAAUAUGGGCAUAUCUUUAUAGGUAGGCAUGGAGGAGUCCAAUUUAAAUGCUUUGAGAAUAUAGAAAAAAUAUUUAGCUAACAAAUUUUUAACUUACAGAGGUCCAAUGUUAUAAGGCCAAAUGAAAACUUUAUUAAAAAAUAACCCAUUUUGUAUGUAGGUCAAUUCAAUCUUACUUUCAAUAUCAGAAACACAAAUAAAUAUUAUUUUAUUGAAAUUUCAAUUUCAUCUUUUUCAUCUAUUUUUCAUUAGAUCAAUUUUGUGAAAAUUGACAUCCAAACAAUAUUGAGCCUUCUGAUCUAUGAGCAUGGUAAAUAUUUCUUCUUUAAUUUCUCUCAUAAAUAUUUUGAAGUUUUCAGUCUGUGGAUAUUGUACAAGCCAUUUGUCAAAGUAAAAUUAAAAUCUAGUUUGGUCAUUUCUUACAAAUUUAAACAUCAACUUAUACUAUGAUCCAACAAUCCAAUUACUAUUACACAAUAAAUAUAAAAAAAUAUAGCCACACAAAAUAUUGUAUGAAAAUGUUUACAGCAUCAUUAUCCAUAAUAGUACAUCCUCAAAAGUCAAAAUAUAAUUUAAGUGCAUUAAGUUAUAAACUGAUUUUUAAAGAUGAAUCUGCUAUAGAUUCAAUAGGAUACAAUUAUAAUCUAAUCAGGCUUUUUCUCCGUGGAUUCAAAAUCAUGUAAGCAGAAGGCACUUUAUAGUUGUGGUCUUGUGCUAUACUGAUCAUUAAAGGAGUGGCAAUCUACUUAUAUGCUCUUCCAGAAGGAUUACUUUUUAUAGCCCCAGUUGAAGGCAAUUUAAACACAUUGAGGAGAAUGUAGAAAAUCAAUCAGGAAAGUCCUUGGUCUAGCUAUAACUUCACCCACCCCAGCCCUAGGCCUGCCCUAGGAUGGGCUUUAGAAACACCAUGUAUGUAGGAUCUGUAGAAAAUUAGGCUAGUGGCAUGCUCCCUGAACAUAUCAGGAAAAACAAGAAUGAGACCUUUUUCAAAAAUGUGUAGAAAUGUUACAGUGAUAUUGAGACAAAUAGGGAAUCAGAUCACUAAGGGAAUAAAAAAGGAAGAUGAAAUUCUCAGGAAAUAAAGGAUCUAUGAAAAUAAAAUACUGUGAAAAUAUUUUGGCCUCUGAGGGAAACAUAUUUUAACUAGUACACAUUAUUUUUUCUUCAGAGGUAAUCAGAGAGUGGUUUUCUUACGAGUGCUUAAAGCUUGUAUUGUACCCAUCAAAACAAUAGGUAACAAGUAUGAAAUAAACUGUUUUCAUGAGGCUUGGGUCUCAGGGAACAGGAAAAAAAUUUUCUUCAGCCUUACUUCCUUUUAAUAAGUUAAUAUAUAAAGAAAGCCAAUGUUACCUAAUAGCUAAUGCUACAUUCUUUGUCCAAAGUUGGAAUUUUUUUUAACUGAAUAUUUUUAUUUCAGUUGGGAUAAAACAUCACAAUAACUUUUUGUUUUUUGGCCAUUUCUACUUGUAAGCAUUUUAAAUUAGCAUACUUUCUUGAACAAAGGUUUUAUUUAAAGUUUGCACAGGGAAAGGAAAAUUUUCCUAGUACUAAAGAUACUGAUAUAUACUAGCACAUUUGCCCUGUCAAAGAAACUAUGCCAAUUAUGUUGAUUAUAAAGGUCUCUUGGAGGGUUCCCUAGUCAGUUCAGGAAGCAUAAGAUUUCCUAACACUACUCUGUUUAACGUUGUUAGUCGCUGAAGUAUUAUCAAUUUUAUUUCAUUUGAGAUAAAACAGUAUAUUGAGAAUGCCUUUGAACACAGAGAAUGUGUGUUUUUGAAAUGAACAUUGAGGUAUAUUAUAAGAAUUUCACCAAAAAGUCAUAAAAGUUAAUUGUUAAUGUCAAGUGAAAAUAAAUUAACAUUCCUUUAUAAUAGUUAUUCAUGUUAAUUUUUUAUAUUGAAUUUUAUCAUCACUGUAUCCAGUCAAUUGUUUUAGUAAGCUAAAGAAAAGUUUGAAUAUAUAUUGAAUAGAAAAAUUAAAUUAAUUUUAGUAAAACCUUAUUUCUUGAUUUUUUCAGUCUUAGAGUGAAACAUAGCAUUGAAAACAUCGACAAGCACCGAAGAUACUAUAAAGGGUUUUAACAGCUAGCAUCAAACUUUAAAUUGCAAUUUUUACCCCUUACAAGUGCUUAACUUUUACAGGACAUUACCUCAUUUUAUGGAAACUGAUGAAAUUAAAUAAGUGCUAUUUCCAUUAACUGAGAUAAUGUGCCUUAAAAUAAUACUGUCGAAUAGUUUUUCAUAGCACAUUUUUUUUUCUGCUUUUUGUUUGCAGUUCCCUUUUAAGACUUUAAAUGAGAUUUGGUUCCCUACUAAUUUUAUCCUUUUCAAUUGGAAAACAGUAGCUUUUCCCCACCCUGUGAUUCUAAUGGAGCUUGAAAUUAACAUAGUACUUUUGUUGUAAUUUUCUUUUUAUUAUUAUGGUGCUGAAAGUUGGAAAAUGUUCAUAGGGUUUUUAGAAAACAUUGCUUAGUGUUAAAGUAUGUCAAACAAAAACGAAUUUUUUUUGAAACACUGAACACUGAACAUAUUGUGACUUUGAUUUUUCUAAAUUAUUUUAAUUGAUUUCUUCAUAAAUGAAAUAUAAAUGAAAGCCAAAAGAGCCAUGAAUAGGUUGGUCACUUUAACUAAAGUCUGGGUGAAUUCCUUUUCAUCAAAGUGAAGAACAUGGGCUCUCUUAAUUUAAGGAAAAUGAUCUCAUUCUGAUUCCUCUAUUCAGUUAUUCUGCUGAUAAUCUGGCAGAACCUAAACAUCCACCUGCAGAAGCGAAUAUUCUACACUGGCUGUGUUGAGAUGUUCAUAGGGUUUUGAUUAGUGUGUCCUUAGUCUAUGCAGAGGAGAGGAGACCAAUGCCAAGGAGUGCCUUUUCAGUGUUCAAUCUACUCCACUCCCCUUUCAUUUCCUUUUGCUUGUAUUGAAAUCCCUAAUUACUCAAUCUCUUCAACUGGCUGAAAGGAAAAUAAAGCUCGCUUUCUAGUGUGAGGAUUCUGAUUUAUUCUUUUAUUUUAUUUUAUUUUAUUGUCUUUUUAGGGCCACACCCGUAGCAUAUGGAGUUUCCCAGGCUAGGGAUCUAAUCAGAGCUAUUGCUGCUGGCCUACGACACAGCCACAGCAAUGCAGGAUCCGAGCCAUGUCUGUGACCUACACCACAGCUCAUGGCAAUGCCAGAUCCUUAACCCACUGAGCGAGGCCAGGGAUCAUGGUUCCUACCCGGAUUCAUUUCUGCUGCACUGUGACGGGAACUCCUAGGUUCUUCUAAGUGAGCUUUAUUGUAGCAACCUAAUAUCCUCAGAAUUCUCAUCUGUAAAAUAAUCUUCUUAAACUCACAAUACUCUAUAGUGUGUUAGGAGCUAUUCCUCUGUGGUUAGUUUUAGAAUGUUAUCUACUAGAUCUUAUGCAAUUAUACACAUCUGUAUAUAUACAUCACACAUUCUACUGUGAUGCCCAUCAGGAGAUAGGCAUCUAUUUCUGAAUCUCUAGUGCUAACAUGGUACCCAGAAUAAAUUUGAAGCUCAAAAUUUACUGAAAAAAAAAGUAUAUAUUUUUUGGUGAUUCUAGAGUUCACAUGUUUGUUGAUUAUAAAACGGCACUUCAGAUUUCCAAUCUUUCUUAAUUUGUUUCUCAUUUAUAUGGCCAAACUACACCUUUUAAAGUAAAUGCAUACUCGAAUUCCUUUUUCGUACUGAAGCCCUAGUGUAUACUUGAACCUUUUUGACUGAGGUCUUUAAAACCUACAUGAUUUCCAAAAGAAUUUAUCUCAGGAGCUGGAGCAAUCCUUGCCCUUCCUCUGGUUACUGCCAGACAAUGUGUCAAAUCACAGGAAUCCUUGGGAACUCUAAAAACAUUACUUAAUUAUGUCAAGCUAGAUCCCUUCCACAGGUCAUUACCCCACCUUGUCCCACUUCUUUCUUUCCAUUAAACUUGCCUGCCUUCCAGGUAAUGUAAGUGCUCUCUGUAUAAAUGAAAUCCUUAAAGCCUCACUUCUCUGAGUCACUGGUUCCUCAUUCAAAGUCUGGGCUAAGCUGGGUGGUAAAAAUGAGUGUCUAGUGUUUAUGCUUAUAAGUGAAAGACUGAAUGGGCCACAUGAGUCUGGUGAUUACCUGCCCACAGGUAGGGAUGCAGAUACUGGGUGGCCAUACUGUCCACACCACUUCUUGUUACCAAAACUUUCUGUCUGAAGGAAAAAUAAGAUUUUAUAGACCAAACCUCUGCUCCCCACACCUCACAAUACACACAAAUUUCAACUCUAAUUCCACAGUGCUAACACAAUUACUUCAUGAACUUCUGAUGGAAAAGUAUACAAAGUUGGAGUUGCCGUUGUGGCGCAGCAGAAAUGAAGCCAACUAGGAACCAUGAGGUUGCGGGUUCGAUCCCUGGCCUCGCUCAGAGGGUUAAGGAUCCAGCGUUGCCAUGAGCUGUGGUGUAGGCUGCAGACGCAGCUCGGAUCUGGCGUUGCUGUGGCUGUGGCCUAGGCCAGCAGCUGUAGCUCCUUUUAGACCCCUAGCCUGGGAACCUCCCUAAGCCACAGGUACAGCUCUGAAAAGACAAUAGGAAAAAAAAAAAAA
ensembl:lncRNA